UACGGAGGAUGCGAGCGUUAUCCGGAAUCAUUGGGUUUAAAGGGUCCGUAGGCGGUUUAAUAAGUCAGUGGUGAAAUCUGGUCGCUCAACGAUCAAACUGCCAUUGAUACUGUUAGACUUGAAUAAUUGUGAAGUAACUAGAAUAUGUAGUGUAGCGGUGAAAUGCUUAGAUAUUACAUGGAAUACCAAUUGCGAAGGCAGGUUACUAACAAUUUAUUGACGCUGAUGGACGAAAGCGUGGGGAGCGAACAGG
rnacentral:rRNA from 1 species